rnacentral:rRNA from 1 species
AUUGAACGCUGGCGGCAGGCCUAACACAUGCAAGUCGAACGAGUGGCGGACGGGUGAGUAAUGUCUGGGGAACUGCCCGAUGGAGGGGGAUAACUACUGGAAACGGUGGCUAAUACCGCAUACCAUCAGAUGUACCCAGAUGGGAUUAGCUGGUUGGUGGGGUAAAGGCUCACCAAGGCGACGAUCCCUAGCUGGUCUGCGAGGAUGACCAGCCACACUGGGACUGAGACACGGCCCAGCAUCCUACGGGAGGCAGCAGUGGGGAAUAUUGCACAAUGGGCGCAAGCCUGAUGCAGCCAUGCCGCGUGUAUGAAGAAGGCCUUAGGGUUGUAAAGUACUUUCAUCGGGGAGGCGUUACCCGCAGAAGAAGCACCGGCUAACUCCGUGCCAGCAGCCGCGGUAAUUC